AUUGAACGCUGGCGGCAUGCCUUACACAUGCAAGUCGAACGGCAGCACGGGGCAACCUGGUGGCGAGUGGCGAACGGGUGAGUAAUGCAUCGGAACGUACCUUUCAGUGGGGGAUAACGUAGCGAAAGUUACGCUAAUACCGCAUAUUCUGUGAGCAGGAAAGCAGGGGAUCGCAAGACCUUGCGCUGAUUGAGCGGCCGAUGUCAGAUUAGCUAGUUGGUGAGGUAAAGGCUCACCAAGGCGACGAUCUGUAGCGGGUCUGAGAGGAUGAUCCGCCACACUGGGACUGAGACACGGCCCAGACUCCUACGGGAGGCAGCAGUGGGGAAUUUUGGACAAUGGGGGCAACCCUGAUCCAGCCAUGCCGCGUGAGUGAAGAAGGCCUUCGGGUUGUAAAGCUCUUUCGGCCGGGAAGAAAUCGCACAGGCUAAUACCUUGUGUGGAUGACGGUACCGGAAUAAGAAGCACCGGCUAACUACGUGCCAGCCGCCGCCGUAACAC
rnacentral:rRNA from 1 species